UACGGGGGGAGCAAGCGUUGUUCGGAUUUACUGGGCGUAAAGGGCGCGUAGGCGGCCAGCACAAGUCAGUUGUGAAAUCUCCGAGCUUAACUCGGAAAGGUCAACUGAUACUGUGCGGCUAGAGUGCAGAAGGGGCAACUGGAAUUCUCGGUGUAGCGGUGAAAUGCGUAGAUAUCGAGAGGAACACCUGCGGCGAAGGCGGGUUGCUGGGCUGACACUGACGCUGAGGCGCGAAAGCUAGGGGAGCAAACGGG
rnacentral:rRNA from 1 species